CACCUCCCAGGGUGGCAUCUGGAGAGUUUCCAGGACUCUACCAGUAACGACUAAGGGAGGGAGAGUCAGGCAGAGGCCUACCCACUCCAUUCCUAGCUUGGCCAACGGCUAGCGAGUGGAAGACCAUCUGCUACAAGU